UUGAACAGUAACGGUCAACGAGGAGAAGAAGCUGGGAAAUCGAGUGAUUAACGUUGUUUAACUUGUUAAAAGUUGAUUUAAAGACGCUAAAAAGGAAGAAAUAGUAAUACUUAUCUGAUCUGCAUCCUAAACGAACAAUUUUGGGUGAAGGAUGUCUGUGGGAGUCCUGAUCAUCAUUAAGAUCAAGAAACAUCAAUGAAGCGUCUGAUCAUCGACACACUGAUCGCUGAUCUGAGUUUCCUGUGAAGUCACGGUUGUGUGGGAAAAUGUCCAGUCAUCACUUCACUCACGGAAACACCGAGCUCGACGUGAAGCUGGAAGAUCCACAUCUGUCCCUCAAGACGCUCCAGAACAUGUGAGAGUGAAGAUACACACACAACAACCACACAGUGACAUUACAGGAGUGUUUCAUGCCUGUAACAUACACAACAUGAACACACUCUUUCACACAUGAGAACAUGCCUCACACACACACACACACACACACACACACACACAUACACACACACACAUGAGAACAUGCCUCACACACACACACACACACAAAACUAAAAAUGCCUGUAGUUUUGUGUGAGGGGUAGGUUUAAGGUAACGGGAUAGAAAAUACAGUUUGUACAGUAGAAAAACCAUUACACCCAUAGAAUGAAUGAACCCAUAGUUAUUCUAGUUAUUUAUUAUUAGUAAAAAUGUGGUAUCAGAUACCAGUGGCAUCAGACAAAUACACUGAUAGAGACUCUGUUCAUUCAGCAUCAUUUACUGUAGGAUGAUCAUGUGACUCAAACUGACUUUAAUGACAUUGCAUUAUAAACACAUAGACAUUAAUAUGGAGUUGGUCAUCCCUUUGCAUUUAUAACCGCUUCACUCUUCUGGAAAGGCUUUCCAUGAGAUUCUGGAGUGUUUUUGUGGGAUUUUUUGCCCAUUUAUCCAGUAGAGCGUUUGUGAGGUCAGACGCUGAUGUUGGAUGUGAAGGUUUGGCUCGCAGUCUCUGUUCCUGUUCAUCCCAAAGGUGUUUGAUGGGAUUGAUGUCAGGAUUUUGUGAUCUUCCACACCAAACUCAUCCAGCCGUGUCUUUAUGGACCUUGAUUUGUGCUGGAAUAGAAAGGCUCUUCCUCAAACUGAUCACACAAAGUUGGAAGCACAGCAUCGUCCAGAAUGUCUUGAUUUCCCUUCAUCAGCCCAACCUCUGAAAAACAGCUCCACAGCAUCAUCCCUCAUUCACCAAACUCUGCAUCUGGCCCAAUGCAGUCAGACAGGUGAUGUUCUCCUGAUAUCAUCAAACCCAGACGCACUCAUCAGACUGAAGAAGAGGUUUCUGCUGCUCCAGAGUCCAGUAUCUGUGUGCUUUACUCACUCCGUCCCACGCUUGUCAUUGUACUGGAGAUGUGAGGCUUUAAACCCUGCUGCACAGUAUUUGUGCUGAUAUUAAUGCUAGUGGAAGUCUGCAGCUCUGGAAUCAGAAAAGCGUUGGUGUCUCAGCACUCGGUGACUCUGAGAUUUUACGUGGACUUUAUGAGUUCCUGCUGUUCCUAAACACUUCCACAUUCCCGUAAUAACACUUAUGAUUGAAUGUGGAACAUCUAGUAGGGAUACAAUUUGACAAACUGACUUAUUUCAAAGGUGGUGUCCUAUCACAGUCCCACACUUGAAUCCACUGAGCUCUUCAGAACGGCUCAUUUCUUUCAUGGAUAUUUGUAAUUGCAGACUGCAUGGCUAGUGCUGGAUUUUAUACACUUGUGGCAAUGGAUCUGAUUGAAACACCUGAUUGAGUUCAUUAAUGAAGAGCUGUGUCCCAAUACUUUUGUCCAUAUAGUGUAGAGGUGUUAUUAUAAAUCAGUUUCUACACAUCUCAGAGAAACAGAAACACACUCACUCACAGUGUUACUCGGUCUGUAAUGAUGUUCUGCGCAGCUGUUCAGCUGGGCCAGGUGUGUGUGUGUGUGUGUGUGUGUGUGGGACAGAGCUGGCAGGGACAGAAGGAAUUCUGGAAACAGAGAGGAAAGGAAGCAGACCGGAGGAAGGAAGGACGAAAUGGAUCUGGUUUGGAGAUAAGCUGCUCCCAUAGCAACCGUCCCAGAGUUACGAGAAGUGUAAACACACACACACACACACACACACUCACCCGUGUUAAAGCAGCUCAGUCUGUGUAGUUUGUCCUUGUGUAGAUGGUUUGGUGAAUGUCUUCAGACCACAUAGAGACCAGCUUUAGACCACCUACAGACCACAACAAACUGGAGACACUUGUGAAGACUCCUGAAGCGUUAGUUCAGUGUUGAUGCUGAGGAUCUGGUCAGUGUGUGAUGUGUGAUGGGAUUUUCUGGAGGAACUGGCUGAGCUGUUGGGUAGUUGGUGCUGGUUGUGUGUUUUCGGGUGGUUUAUUGGAGAGUUGGACUCUGUUCACAUGUGAACUGUUGGGCAGAUUUCAGGUCGUGUAUUUUUGGACCGUCUGGCAGAGUCUGUAUUGUUGGGUAGUUCAGCAAUUUCAAAACUUGAUUAUUGACUCUUAAAUGAAGCAUAUUAUUGAAGUAAACUAUUUUAAAAUGUACAUUUGUAAAUAA